rnacentral:rRNA from 1 species
UACAGAGGGUGCAAGCGUUGUUCGGAGUUACUGGGCGUAAAGGGUGCGUAGGCGGUCCUAUAAGUAUGGUGUGAAAUCUCCCCGGCUUAACUGGGAGGGUGCGCUAUAGACUGUGGGACUAGAGUGUGGGAGAGGAAAGUGGAAUUCCUGGUGUAGCGGUGAAAUGCGUAGAUAUCAGGAGGAACACCGGUGGUGUAAACGGCUUUCUGGACCAUAACUGACGCUGAGGCACGAAAGCGUGGGUAGCAAACAGG